rnacentral:lncRNA from 1 species
CUGAAGUUAUGAGGAAAUAAAAAUCAAACAUGGGCCUAGACCUUCCCUGAAAGGAAAGAUUUCUGUGACCUUGCAGAAACAAGCCACCAUGAGUUCUACAGCUGCAGAAAAUGAAUUCUGUCACCACAACCUUAGCUUGGAAUGGGACCCCAAGCCUCCAACCAGACCAUAGCCCUGGCCGACACCUUGAACACAGCCUUGUGAAACUCUGAGCAGGGGACCCAACUAAGCCAAGACAAGAUUCCUG